UACGUAGGGUGCAAGCGUUAUCCGGAAUGAUUGGGCGUAAAGCGUCUGUAGGUGGCUUUUUAAGUCCGCCGUCAAAUCCCAGGGCUCAACUCUGGACAGGCGGUGGAAACUACCAAGCUGGAGUACGGUAGGGGCAGAGGGAAUUUCCGGUGGAGCGGUGAAAUGCGUAGAGAUCGGAAAGAACACCUAUGGCGAAGGCAGCUCGCUGGGACGUUACUGACGCUGAGACGCGAAAGCGUGGGGAGCAAACAGG
rnacentral:rRNA from 1 species